rnacentral:rRNA from 1 species
UGGGGAAUAUUGCACAAUGGGCGCAAGCCUGAUGCAGCCAUGCCGCGUGUGUGAAGAAGGCCUUCGGGUUGUAAAGCACUUUCAGCGGGGAGGAAGGCGAUAAGGUUAAUAACCUUGUCGAUUGACGUUACCCGCAGAAGAAGCACCGGCUAACUCCGUGCCAGCAGCCGCGGUAAUACGGAGGGUGCAAGCGUUAAUCGGAAUUACUGGGCGUAAAGCGCACGCAGGCGGUUUGUUAAGUCAGAUGUGAAAUCCCCGGGCUCAACCUGGGAACUGCAUCUGAUACUGGCAAGCUUGAGUCUCGUAGAGGGGGGUAGAAUUCCAGGUGUAGCGGUGAAAUGCGUAGAGAUCGGGAGGAAUACCGGUGGCGAAGGCGGCACCCUGGACGAAGACUGACGCUCAGAUGCGAAAGCGUGGGGAGCAAACAGG